CCAAGCGCUGUCGCCAAGCAGGUACAUUUUUAUGUGGUGAAUGUGACCUUACCUUUCUCACCUUGGGUAAAUUAAGAGAGCAUGUUCGACAAAAACAUCCAGGAAAAUUGGAUCAGUUGGCUCCUUUGAAGCUAAAAAAAAUUAACAAAUGCGGAAAAUGUAAUGCUGGUUUUGAUAAUUCGAAAGAGUUAUCAUUACAUAUAAAAAGUCAGCAUAUUUCAAAAAAUAUAAACUGCUCCUUAUGUGACUAUAAAGAUGUAUUGUCAAUGGAUAUGAAGAAACACUAUGAAACCAAUCACUCAAUUAUAAUGGACACAGAAUCUUAUCACUUUGACUCUGAGGAGACAUUUCAAGCCUGGAAAAGUAACAUUGAGAAGGAGAGUUUUGCUUCCUUUGUUAAAACGCAAGGAUCAAAGCGAGGUGAAAAUUGGAUGAAAACCAAUUAUACAUGUCACAGGUCAGGAAACAUUAGGCAGCGGGGAAAUAACCAUCGAGAAAUUAAAACACAGGGAAGCAAUAAAAUAAAUGCCUACUGCCCGGCUGCUAUGAAUGUGGUGAUAAAAGAAAAAAAAUGGACAGUAGAUUUUUGUAAAACCCAUGUGGGGCAUAGGCAGGAACAGGAUAUAGGACAUCUAUUUCUUACACAGCAAGAACGACAAAUUAUAGCUGCUAAAAUUGCUGCAAAAAUUCCUUUACAAUGUAUCUUAGAUGAAGUAAGGGAUUCUGUUGUAAACUGUCAGCUUGAACGACUCCAUCUUUUAACGAAAAAAGAUCUAUAUAACAUUGAAUAGGCUUUUAAUUUAAGUGGAUCUUCAGUUCGGCAUAAAAAUGUCGCUAUUAGCGUCGAUGCUUGGGUGCAAGAGCUGAAAACUAGGGAUUCCUGUAUGUUUUAUAAGCCUCAAGAUAGCACUCUUAGUGAAUAUCCUGAUCUAAAAUCUGAAGACUUUGUAUUAAUAAUAAUUACAGAAGCACAGAAAGAGUUACUGUUAAGGUUUGGUGAUGAUUGCGCGUGUAUAGAUGGCACACACGGUGUUAAUGGAUAUGGCUUUAAGCUCCAUACUCUUCUUAUACUAGAUGAUCUUAGGGAAGGAUAUCCAGGUGCCUUUUUAAUAUCCAACAGAAGCGAUGUGAACAUUAUGGAGAUUUUUUUUUCAUGUGUUGAAGAGAAAAUUGGAAAAAAAAUUAGGCCACAAGUUUUUAUGUCGGACAUGGCAGAGGCAUAUUAUAAUGCCU